rnacentral:hammerhead_ribozyme from 1 species
AUCCAUCUGAAGAGUCCCAAAUAGGACGAAACGCACGUCAAACUGCAU